GGUUCCAUAGUGUAGCGGUUAAUAUGUCUGCUUUAUACACAGAAGGUCCUGCAUUUGUGCCCCAGUGGAGCCA
rnacentral:tRNA from 1 species